AUAAACCUAUGAACUCACACAUAUAAGACACAUUUAUAUUUGAUAUAGUCUGGAUUUCUUGGCGUGCAGUGCCUCGAUGUGUAUUUGUUAACAAUCCAGGGAACAGCAUCCCCGCACAAAUCAGUAGAGCUACCAGACAGUAUUUGGUUUGACUUCACGUGCACUGUUUUAUGUCAAUAUGGACACACUCAUACCUUCUGUGAUGUGACAUAAUUUGGAUGAUUUAUUCUUUUGUAGUAAUGGAGACAGACGACCAGCUUCAAAUGGAGGAAUAGCCCACAGACCCUCAGCCAGCCGACCUCCGCCGGGAGGAGGACGACCCAAACCUGCCCCCAAACCCAAACCGCAGGUGCCGCAGUGCAAAGCUCUGUACGCCUACGAUGCUCAGGACACAGACGAGCUCAGCUUCAACGCUGACGAUCUGAUCGACAUCAUCAGAGAGGAUGCAUCAGGAUGGUGGAUGGGACGACUUCGUGGAAAGCAGGGACUUUUCCCCAACAACUACGUCACCAAGGUCUAAGAGCUGCAGGUUUACAGCACAGGGAGGAGGGAGCCUGCUGCGUCCCCGCCGACCCUCUCAGGCGACGGCAUGGAGACAGAAGCACUGCGAGAUUCCCUGAGAAGAGAAACUCAAUCUUCCUCCACUUUCUGCCGCGUGGUGAAUGAGGGUAACCCUCAGUUAUGCCACCAGACCAAAAGACCGUCAGGAUCGACAGCGAGGCUCCGCUUUAAAGACAAGAACACUGUUUGACCCAGGGGUCUGUUUCCCUCCACAGUCCCUUUGAGUAAUGAACAAAAACUAUUUAUUGUAUUUAUAGCUUUCUGUGUUCUCCUCGCUGCCAUUUAUACUCUUGCAGAGGAUUUGAGCUCAAACGUUUUUCAAGCGCUGGAAUGAAGUAUGCUUUAUCUGUGGGACCAGGCUGUGAUUUAUUUUUAUUUUUCAACAUGUCGUCUUUCGAUGAAGGUGUGAUCGCUGAAGCACAGACGGGUCGUCUCGGUGUCAGAGCUGCAGAGACGGCUGUUUUACCAGGUUUUAUUUAUUUUUAUGCAAAGCUGUAACUGCUUCCUCGGGAAAGGACGUUCAGUAAAUCACCACACUGUGUUUUAAUGAUUUUACCAAAGGAAUAUAAAUUUGAACAGGUCUGUCUGAGGGCAGCGUGGUGACUCACCUGGAAAAACCACCUUCAUCUUUGUUGUUUUUUUGUUUUUCUAUCACACCAGUAUACUUAACAUACAGAGUCGAGGCCAUACUGUAACCUGAGCAUGCUGUCUGUGGUGUAUUAGCACUUUAUUGGUACAGGUACUACCUUUGGAUACAGACACCGUCACUCGUUCAUGCCACAGCCAGUAAGUUUAGUCUAUGAAGGACAGGUUGCCAAGCUAAAGCAAUAAGCCCAGUUACUGAGCAGAAUAAGUUGUUUACAUGAAAUGAUAAAAACCAAACAGGUGUCGUGGAGCUGAUUCUGUAUAUGUGUUCAUAUUUAGGAACGUGCCUGUCGUUGGUUAGAUUUUAAAUUAUUGUUUUUGUAUUUUCUCUGAAGGAUCUUAGUAUUCUAGUUAUUUUUCCUGCUUUUGAUAUUUACAGAGGGCUGCUUUGUUUCCAUUUCAGCUACAAAUAGAUAAUAAUAGUUAUCACACACGAGGGUGAAUGGAUUUUUGUUUUGUCAAGUUGUUUUGGUAGAAAGAAAAGAGUUGUUAACAUUUUUCCAUGGCACUACAAAGAAUUCCUUUUGCUUCUGCUUGAUUGUUUCUGCACAUCCUUUGCACUGCUGUUGAAUUACUCACACAUUCCUUUAGUCAUUUGUUUUUAUUUUAUUUUAAUUGAAUAACCACAUUAUACUCGAGUCAGUAAAAAGAAAUGCUGGGACUUCUGUCAUAGAUCCUCUGCAUCAUCAAAUAUAGUUUGAUCUUGGAUGGUUUAAAACAUCCUUGUGCAAUACAAAAACAGUAGAUGAGUCUCUAAAUGAAGCAUGUAAUAUUGUAUAUUGAACUGCUUUUUUGUUUUAUUAAAAAGAUCAUUAAA